rnacentral:rRNA from 1 species
AAUAUUGCACAAUGGGCAGAAGCCUGAUGCAGCGACGCCGCGUGAGUGAUGAAGGCCUUCGGGUCGUAAAGCUCUGUCCUAUGGGACGAUAAUGACGGUACCAUAGGAGGAAGCCCCGGCUAACUACGUGCCAGGAGCCGCGGUAAUACGUAGGGGGCGAGCGUUGUCCGGAAUUACUGGGCGUAAAGGGUACGUAGGCGGCUAGGUAAGUCAGGUGUGAAAUCCAUGGGCUCAACCCAUGUAAGCACUUGAAACUGCUUAGCUUGAGUUAAGGAGAGGAAAGCGGAAUUCCUGGUGUAGCGGUGAAAUGCGUAGAUAUCAGGAGGAACACCAGUGGCGAAGGCGGCUUUCUGGCCUUGGACUGACGCUGAGGUACGAAAGCGUGGGGAGCAAACAG